GUUGUUUUCCUCUGGUCUGUGAAAUCUUGCCAUUAGGAGCACCGGAGGACACAGAGGCACAGGAUUUCUUUUCAGAUUACCUGUUUCAUGCACUACUGUCUACUGAUUUAGUGACCGUUUUAGUAAAAUAACUUUUUUUAAUCAUAUUUGCUCCAUUUCUACCCACCGCUGCUUUAAUUUUGCUUUAAAAGUG